UGCCAGCCGCCGCGGUAAUACGGAAGGUCCAAGCGUUAAUCGGAAUUACUGGGCGUAAAGCGCGCGUAGGUGGUUUAUUAAGUUGGAUGUGAAAUCCCCGGGCUCAACCUGGGAACUGCAUUUGGAACUGGCAAGCUAGAGUGUGUGAGAGGUGAGUGGAAUUUCCUGUGUAGCGGUGAAAUGCGUAGAUAUAGGAAGGAACAUCAGUGGCGAAGGCGACUCACUGGCACAACACUGACGCUGAGGUGCGAAAGCGUGGGUAGCAAACGGGAUUAGAUA
rnacentral:rRNA from 1 species